GAGGAAGGGAAGAAGGAAGGCCCUGGCCAAGAGGGACAGGCUGUGGACACUGUGCCUUCAGCAACUCUGACCCAGGAUCAGUCCAAGUGUGAAGUGUGUGAGCAGCUAACGAGGGACCCUGUCAUCACCAGCUGUGGACACAGUUUCUGUAGGCAGUGCAUCAGCAGCUCCUGGAGCCAGUCUCAGGAGACUACAGCUGUGCCAAGUGUGGGAAACGAUGCAGAACACACUUUUUACAGACAAUGCCAGAGGCACAACCCAUUGAUAACUAGAUGUACCGCA